GUUCCUGCAGCGCAAUGGAGAGCGCAUUGACUUCUAAUCCAAAGGUCGUGGGUUCGAACCCCAUCUGGAAUA